rnacentral:tRNA from 1 species
GAGGGUAUAGCUCAAAUGGUAAAGUGCAUGCUUGGUACGCAUGAGAUCCUGGGUUCAAUCCCCAGUAUCCCCU